UACAGAGGUCGCAAGCGUUAAUCGGAUUUACUGGGCGUAAAGGGUGCGUAGGCGGUUUGAUAAGUCUGAUGUGAAAUCCCCGGGCUCAACCUGGGAACGGCAUUGGAGACUGUCAAGCUAGAGUGCGUCAGAGGGGGGUAGAAUUCCACGUGUAGCAGUGAAAUGCGUAGAGAUGUGGAGGAAUACCGAUGGCGAAGGCAGCCCCCUGGGAUGACACUGACGCUGAAGCACGAAAGCGUGGGGAGCAAACAGG
rnacentral:rRNA from 1 species